UACGAAGGGGGCUAGCGUUGCUCGGAAUCACUGGGCGUAAAGCGCACGUAGGCGGAUUGUUAAGUCAGGGGUGAAAUCCUGGAGCUCAACUCCAGAACUGCCUUUGAUACUGACGGUCUUGAGUCCGGGAGAGGUGAGUGGAACUCCGAGUGUAGAGGUGAAAUUCGUAGAUAUUCGGAAGAACACCAGUGGCGAAGGCGGCUCACUGGCCCGGUACUGACGCUGACGGUGCGAAAGCGUGGGGAGCAAACAGG
rnacentral:rRNA from 1 species